rnacentral:rRNA from 1 species
AACGCGAAGAACCUUACCGACCCUUGCAAUCCUCGGAAGAUGUCAGAGAUGACUUGGUGCCUUCGGGAGCGAGAGACAGGUGCUGCAUGGCGGUCGUCAGCUCGUGUCGUGAGAUGUUGGGUUAAUUCCGUAACGAGAGCAACCCUUAUCCUUAUUUGCCACCUCGUCAUGGCGGGAACUCUAGGGAGACUGCCGGUGAUAAACCGGAGGAAGGUGGGGACGACGUCAAGUCAUCAUGGCCCUUAUGGGUAGGGCUACACACGUGCUACAAUGGUCGGUACAGAGGGUUGCGAACUCGGGAGAGCCAGCCAAUCCCAAAAAGCCGAUCCUAGUCCGGAUUGCAGUCUGCAACUCGAGUGCAUGAAGUCGGAAUCGCUAGUAAUCGCGGAUCAGAAUGCCCCGGGGAAAACCUUCCCGGGUCUUGUACACACCG